GGAUUAGAAACCCCGGUAGUCCACGCCGUAAACGAUGGGCACUAGGUGUGGGGGGUGUCGACUCCCCCUGUGCCGAAGCUAACGCAUUAAGUGCCCCGCCUGGGGAGUACGGCCGCAAGGCUAAAACUCAAAAGAAUUGACGGGGGCCCGCACAAGCAGCGGAGCAUGUUCUUUAAUUCGAUGCAACGCGAAAAACCUUACCUAGGCUUGACAUGGUGCUGCAAGCGCACAGAAAUGUGUGACCUUCGAGGGUGCACCACAGAUGCUGCAUGGCUGUCGUCAGCUCGUGUCGCGAGAUGUUGGGUUAAGUCCCGCAACGAGCGCAACCCCCG
rnacentral:rRNA from 1 species